AGAGUUUGAUCCUGGCUCAGGAUGAACGCUAGCUACAGGCUUAACACAUGCAAGUCGAGGGGAAACGAUAUUGGAAGCUUGCUUCCGAUAGGCGUCGACCGGCGCACGGGUGAGUAACGCGUAUCCAACCUGCCCACCACUUGGGGAUAACCUUGCGAAAGUAAGACUAAUACCCAAUGAUAUCUCUAGAAGACAUCUGAAGGAGAUUAAAGAUUUAUCGGUGAUGGAUGGGGAUGCGUCUGAUUAGCUUGUUGGCGGGGUAACGGCCCACCAAGGCUACGAUCAGUAGGGGUUCUGAGAGGAAGGUCCCCCACAUUGGAACUGAGACACGGUCCAAACUCCUACGGGAGGCAGCAGUGAGGAAUAUUGGUCAAUGGGCGAGAGCCUGAACCAGCCAAGUAGCGUGCAGGAUGACGGCCCUAUGGGUUGUAAACUGCUUUUAUAAGGGAAUAAAGUGAGUCUCGUGAGGCUUUUUGCAUGUACCUUAUGAAUAAGGACCGGCUAAUUCCGUGCCAGCAGCCGCGGUAAUACGGAAGGUCCGGGCGUUAUCCGGAUUUAUUGGGUUUAAAGGGAGCGUAGGCCGGAGAUUAAGCGUGUUGUGAAAUGUAGAUGCUCAACAUCUGCACUGCAGCGCGAACUGGUUUCCUUGAGUACGCACAAAGUGGGCGGAAUUCGUGGUGUAGCGGUGAAAUGCUUAGAUAUCACGAAGAACUCCGAUUGCGAAGGCAGCUCACUGGAGCGCAACUGACGCUGAAGCUCGAAAGUGCGGGUAUCGAACAGGAUUAGAUACCCUGGUAGUCCGCACGGUAAACGAUGGAUGCCCGCUGUUGGUCUGAAUAGGUCAGCGGCCAAGCGAA
rnacentral:rRNA from 1 species